rnacentral:tmRNA from 5 species
CAUCUAGCUUUUGCCCAGAUCCGCCGCUAUAUCUGAAUUGUCGAAAGACGAUGGCGCUGAAACUCAUAGCGGACUGCGGACAGACCCGGGGGCAGUACCCGGCGCCUCCACCUCAGCAGCUCACGUCUCACUUGGGUGAGGCGAUUCUGGCCGAAAGGCGGGAUGUAAGUGCUGUUCAGGCGGGGGCGAAAUAGGAUCGAUGGUCGCAAAGAAGGUAUGAAUUGUUCCCGGCAUGAUACCGCCGUUAUCGGGUCAAAACCUAAAUGCAAACGAUAACGUUCGCAUGAACGAAGUGCGCCUCGCGGCGUAACCGUUCGGGGUUGGUCCACCUUGCAACAGAACGGCCAGGGCC